AUUGAACGCUGGCGGCAUGCCUCACACAUGCAAGUCGAACGGCAGCACGGGAGCAAUCCUGGUGGCGAGUGGCGAACGGGUGAGUAAAGUAUCGGAACGUGCCCAGUCGUGGGGGAUAACGUAGCGAAAGUUACGCUAAUACCGCAUACGAUCUAUGGGUGAAAGCGGGGGAUCGCAAGACCUCGCGCGAUUGGAGCGGCCGAUAUCAGAUUAGGUAGUUGGUGGGGUAAAGGCUCACCAAGCCGACGAUCUGUAGCUGGUCUGAGAGGACGACCAGCCACACUGGGACUGAGACACGGCCCAGACUCCUACGGGAGGCAGCAGUGGGGAAUUUUGGACAAUGGGCGAAAGCCUGAUCCAGCCAUGCCGCGUGCAGGAUGAAGGCCUUCGGGUUGUAAACUGCUUUUGUACGGAACGAAAAGGUUUGGCCUAAUAAGCUGAGCUCAUGACGGUACUGUAAGAAUAAGCACCGGCUAACUACGUGCCAGCCGCCGCAGUAA
rnacentral:rRNA from 1 species